AUUAAAGUUGCUGCGGUUAAAAAGCUCGUAGUUGGAUUACGAAGUGGUGUUUAAAUGUCAUUUUGGUUUGUUUGUCUUUCGGGGCAUUCAGGUCAACUUGGCUUUUACUCACUGUUGUCAUUGUCUUUGCCCAAGGUAUAUGCCUUGUGUGCAUGGCAUUGACCUUCUAUUUUAUGGUAAUGUUGUAUCUUUCGGGGUACAUUCAUUCCAUAUAGUUUACUUUGAAAAAAUUAGGGUGUUUAAAGCAGGCGAAAAGGCUUCGGAAUAUAUUAGCAUGGGAUAAUAGAAUACGAUCUAGGUCGUAAUUUGUUGGUUUCUACGGCUUAGGUAAUGAUUGACAGGGAUAGUUGGGGUCCUCGUAUUGAGUUGUCAGAGGUGAAAUUCUAGGAUUAACUCAAGACGAACUAAUGCGAAAGCAUUCGGCAAGGAUGUUUUCAUUAAUCAAGAACGAAAGUUGGGGGAUCGAAGAUGAUCAGAUACCGUCGUAGUCUCAACUGUAAACUAUGUCGACCGAGGAUCCGGUAUCGUUACAUGGAUGACCUUCCGGGCACUCUGUGAGAAAUCAUAAGUAUUUGGAUUUCGGGGGGAGUAUGGUCGCAAGGCUGAAACUUAAAGGGAUUGACGGAAGGGCACCACCAGGAGUGGAAUCUGCGGCUUAAUUUGACUCAACACGGGAAAACUUACCAGGUCCGGACACAGUGAGGAUUGACAGAUUGAGAGCUCUUUCUUGAUUUUGUGGGUGGUGGUUCAUGGCCGUUUUUAGUUGGUGGAGUGAUUUGUCUGUUUAAUUCCGUUAACGAACGAGACCUUAACCUAUUAAAUAGCUGCGCGAACCCAGGUUCUUUAACCAUUCUCUCCUUCGGGGGGGCGUGGUAUCAUUAUUUUGCUUUUCACUUUCGGGUGGGAGGUAGGGUAGUGAUAGGGCCUGAGAUGAGUUGGUGAUUUGGCUUCUUAGAGGGACUACUUGCAUCCUUAGCAAGGGGAGGUUUGAGGCAAAAACAGGUCUGUGAUGCCCUUCGAUGUUCUGGGCUGCACGCGCGUUACACUGGCGCAUGCAAAGAGUUUAAAAUUCCUGUCCCGAUGGGGUUGGGAAAUCUUUUUAAAGUGCGUCGUGAUGCGGAUAGAGCAUUGAAAUUAUUGCUCUUGAACGAGGAAUUCCUAGUAAUUGCAGGUCAUCAACCUGCAAUGAUUACGUCCCUGCCCUUUGUACACACCGCCCGUCGCUCCUACCGAUGGUUGAACCGAUGAGGACUCGGGAUGAUCUUAUUAGAUCGGUCGGUCGAAAGAUCGAUAGACUAUUAGGUCAGAACUUGUUCAAAUCUU
rnacentral:rRNA from 1 species